rnacentral:rRNA from 1 species
AGGAAGGCGGGGAUGACGUCAAGUCAUCAUGGCCCUUACGGCCAGGGCUACACACGUGCUACAAUGGGGGGUACAAAGGGUUGCCAAGCCGCGAGGUGGAGCUAAUCCCAUAAAACCUCUCGUAGUCCGGAUCGGAGUCUGCCAACUCGACUCCGUGAAGUCGGAAUCGCUAGUAAUCGUGGAUCAGAACGCCACGGUGAAUACGUUCCCGGGCCUU